rnacentral:tRNA from 1 species
UCGCCGGAAAGUAUUGUAUGUAUGUGUGCCUUCCAAGCACAAGGCCUGGUUAAAUAUCAGUCUGGUGAG